rnacentral:pre_miRNA from 1 species
GUCCGGAAAUACUUGUCAUCAAAAUGAAUAAAAGGGAAUGUAUCUAGAUGUAUUUUAAUUUUAGAUACAUCUCUUUUUAUCCAUUUUGAUGACAGUAUUUUCGGAC